rnacentral:rRNA from 1 species
AUUGAACGCUGGCGGCAUGCUUUACACAUGCAAGUCGAACGGUAACAGGCCGCAAGGUGCUGACGAGUGGCGAACGGGUGAGUAAUGCAUCGGAACAUGCCCAGUCGUGGGGGAUAACGCAGCGAAAGCUGCGCUAAUACCGCAUACGAUCUAUGGAUGAAAGCGGGGGACCGUAAGGCCUCGCGCGAUUGGAGCGGCCGAUGUCAGAUUAGGUAGUUGGGGGGGUAAAGGCGCACCAAGCCAACGAUCUGUAGCUGGUCUGAGAGGACGACCCGCCACACUGGGACUGAGACACGGCCCAGACUCCUACGGGAGGCAGCAGUGGGGAAUUUUGGACAAUGGGCGCAAGCCUGAUCCAGCAAUGCCGCGUGCAGGAAGAAGGCCUUCGGGUUGUAAACUGCUUUUGUAUGGAACGAAACGGUCCGGGUUAAUACCCUGGGCUAAUGACGGUACCGUAAGAAUAAGCACCGGCUAACUACGUGCCAGCCGCCGCAGUAAUAC